AGGGAUCAUUACUGAGUUUACGCUCUAUAACCCUUUGUGAACAUACCUAUAACUGUUGCUUCGGCGGGUAGGG
rnacentral:rRNA from 1 species